rnacentral:rRNA from 1 species
AGAGUUUGAUCAUGGCUCAGAGCGAACGCUGGCGGCGUACUUAACACAUGCAAGUCGAACGGGGAUCAUCAGUGUAGCAAUACAUCGGUGGUCCUAGUGGCGCACGGGUGAGUAACACGUGGGUAACCUGCCCUUGAGUUCGGGAUACCCCCUCGAAAGGGGGGCUAAUACCGGAUACGUUCCUCGGAUCGACAGGUCUGGGGAGGAAAGGUGGCGCAAGCUGCCGCUCUUGGAGGGGCUCGCGGCCUAUCAGCUAGUUGGCGGGGUAACGGCCCACCAAGGCUAUGACGGGUAGCUGGUCUGAGAGGACGACCAGCCACACGGGGACUGAGACACGGCCCCGACUCCUACGGGAGGCAGCAGUGGGGAAUUUUCCGCAAUGGGCGAAAGCCUGACGGAGUGACGCCGCGUGUGGGAUGAAGGCCUUCGGGUCGUAAACCACUGUCAGUGGGAAAGAAGGGUGUCGGCGCUAAUACCGCCGGCAUUUGACGGUACCUGCAGAGGAAGCCCCGGCUAACUCUGUGCCAGCAGCCGCGGUAAGACAGAGGGGGCAAGCGUUGCUCGGAAUUACUGGGCGUAAAGGGCGUGUAGGCGGGAUGGUAAGUCGGUCGUGAAAUCCUUCGGCUCAACCGAAGAACGUCGACCGAUACUGCCGUUCUUGAGGGUUGCAGAGGAGACUGGAAUUCCCGGUGUAGCGGUGAAAUGUGUAGAUAUCGGGAGGAACACCGGUGGCGAAGGCGGGUCUCUGGGCAAUUCCUGACGCUGAGGCGCGAAAGCGUGGGGAGCAAACGGGAUUAGAUACCCCGGUAGUCCACGCUGUAAACGAUGACGACUAGGUG